CAGUAGCCGCGGGAAUACGGAGGAUCCAAGCGUUAUCCGGAAUCAUUGGGUUUAAAGGGUCCGUAGGCGGUCUUGUAAGUCAGUGGUGAAAGCCCAUCGCUCAACGGUGGAACGGCCAUUGAUACUGCAGGACUUGAAUUAUUGGGAAGUAACUAGAAUAUGUAGUGUAGCGGUGAAAUGCUUAGAGAUUACAUGGAAUACCAAUUGCGAAGGCAGGUUACUACCAAUUGAUUGACGCUGAUGGACGAAAGCGUGGGUAGCGAACAGGAUUAGAUACCCCAGUAGUCCCUGUCUCUUAUAA
rnacentral:rRNA from 1 species